UCUCCCGUCGUGUUCUACGCGUCGAUGCCCCGCCCAUUCUCGCUCCCUCGCGAAACACACCUGUGAACAAGCUCGUCGCCUGAAACACGUGGGAUGAACCAAUCAUAUCAUGACGUGAUGUUCGACUCGAGGAACCGCCGCGGACUCACCUGACCCAGAUUCACAUCCCUCCUGAUUCGGGGACCAUGUCUGAGUGAAUCACGGCGGAGCGGUUACAGAAUCUUCCACAGUCGCUGAUCGGCUCGUAAAAAAAGCCGCCUGAGGAAAUAAGGUGCUGAACCAUUUAUGGGAGGGGAAGAGUUGUCUGACCUUCGGCCUUCAGUGGGAGCUGCAUGAUGUCAUGAGUGUCCUUCUCGUUCACAACCAUCGACUGUACGUUGAAGAUGGACGACGCAUCUCCUCCGCCUCGUGCGAGCCAAGUCCCGCAGAUGUUAGCCCUCGACCAAUCGCGAGUCAGUCUCCGCUGUCAAUCGCGGGUGGUUUAUGUUAUCUACUGCCGCCAGCCACCAGGGGGCGAUCCAGACGAUUCGGCUUCACUGUCCCGGGCUGUGUUGAGUUCCAUCUUUGAGGUUCGUCUGCGACCGAGAACCAGGUGUUGGACGACGGUGAGAGGAAACAUCAUCCCACCCGGGUUCGUAUGGUUUUUUUACCAACGUGGAGACAAAAGGCUUUGAUGUAGGGAAAGUGAAAGGUGAGUGAGUGUUAUCCUCUAACUACCUCCCAAAGUGACAGCGCGUUGCCUUCAAAGAGCGUAGGACAGACGAACGUGCAGAAAGAGGCUUCGAAGACGGACGAAUCAGGUGAAGGCUUGUUUGGUCCUGAGGCCUUAUUAUGGUGCGUAGUUCAGUAAUUGUUCAGUAAUUGAAACAAUUUGGUAAUCAUCCUUUUGUACAAAUGAAGAGGACCAGGAACAUGAAAGUAAUACAGACGUCGUCGUCGUCGUCCUCUUCCUCCUGUUUGAAGCCUGAAGAGACGUUUCUAAAAAAAUCUGUCUGGACUGAACGCACUUUUCUUCUUGUCACACAUUUUCACAUCUACGUGUCUUAUCAAAGAUCUCCGACCUCAAUCGUGAAUUUGUCCUCGUGGGACCAAACAUGAUUGUUGUUCCAAAAGAGAGAAGCGCUUUCCCAUUUCCACCCCCUAACAAAACCACUGGAAAAACACAAAUUGGUUCUCAGAAAAGAACUUCUCGUCGGUUUCUUAGACGGAGCUCAGGAUCAUUUGAUUUUGCUCGUCGUAGAAAAAUGUUACACGGCCCCGGGGGUUGGAUUUAGAAACUGUUGGAGUGGGAAGGUUUUGAUUCUUCACAGUAACAACUCUACAUUUUUAAUAGAUAAACAGAAUAAAUGUCAAACAGACAGACUUGUAAAAGAGAAUGACUUG